UUGCUUUAAUUGCUUAUUGUUAAAGGAGUUAUGCUAGUAUGGUGUUAUCUGCCAUCGUGUUAUGCAUUAAAUGACAACUAACUUGUGAGCAAUGUGAGAGUUGGCUUCCUUUUUGUUAAAUCUGUUUGAAAACAGUAGCUCAGGCAUGAGCAACUCUAGUAAUUUUGCACAUUAUUUGUGGGUUCACUACCCUUUUUCUUAAAUCUUAUUAAUGGAUCAAAACAAUUUUGUUUGACAUACUUUAACUUGGAAG
rnacentral:lncRNA from 1 species